GAUGAAGAACGCAGCAAAAUGCGAUAAGUAAUGUGAAUUGCAGAAUUCAGUGAAUCAUCGAAUCUUUGAACGCACAUUGCGCCCGCUGGUAUUCCGGCGGGCAUGCCUGUUCGAGCGUCAUUUCAACCCUCAAGCCCCCGGGUUUGGUGUUGGGGAUCGGCUCUGCCCUUCUGGGCGGUGCCGCCCCCGAAAUACAUUGGCGGUCUCGCUGCAGCCUCCAUUGCGUAGUAGCUAACACCUCGCAACUGGAACGCGGCGCGGCCAUGCCGUAAAACCCCAACUUCUGAAUGUUAACCUCGGAUCAGGUAGGAAUACCCGCUGAACUUAAGCAUAUCAAUAAGCGGAGGA
rnacentral:misc_RNA from 1 species